UUUUAAUGUAAUUUCUUGUUAUGUAUAAAAGCCAGGGAGGCAUUUUUUCUUUUAGAAUAUUUUUCACUCUUCUCAAGGAAGCUGUGUUCUCUAAGAAGUUGGCUCCAGACUAUGUGUGACUCAAGUAUUGUUAGAUUAUUGUUGCCUGUUCUAAAAAUGACUCAUGGAAAUAAACAAAAUGAGCUGAGUGCUUAGGGAGACCUAGCUGGCAAGCACAACGGUUUUUUUCCGCCCACGCCAAGUGAGAAAUUUUUAAGAAUUGGCAGUGCAAGUUUAGUGCUGAGUUGCAAAAGUUGUAUCAUUUAAUUAUUACCUAACUGCCCUGGGAGAUUGCUAAAUCCAAUUCAGAAAUCUUCACAAGCCCAGUCUUCUACCAGAAAGUUUCUCCUUAGGCCCAGAAUCUGCUGAUGCCUGUGCUGGAAUGGUUGGAGCCCUCAUAACGCAGAGUAACUGGUAUUUGUACACUGCUGUAAAGCAUUCCCUAAACUGUGUUACAGCAGGGCCCAGUCUCAGCAGCGUAUUUUGAGGAUACUUUUAGACCUUUCAGGGAUAGCUUCCCAUUCAUCUCUAGCGGUGUGGGUGGCUAAAGCUAUGACCUUUUACAAGGAACCUCUGUCUUAGAUUCCUGCCUUUGUUGAGGGGGACUUGACCCUUAAUUUCCACUUCGUUGAUAAUUGCUGUAAUCAGGGUAGAUGGCUCAAUUCCUCCUAAUGAGGUUAUUUUCCUGAAACUUAAGAGGUGAAAUAUUCAUCCAGCUGGGAAGACCACAGUGCUGUAGCCCCUUAAUAGGCAAAGGGAGAGUGGAACCUGAGUUCCAGUUCUCUGCUCCAGAGACCUUAAAAAAAAUAAAUCCUGUAGGUGGGGGCUGUAAGGCAGGAAUGCUGCCUGUUUCAUAGAUCACAGUGACACCUUUUAGAUCUGCUUUGUAAGUAGUUUUAUAAUGCACUGUAUGAGAAUUACAAGAUUCUUGGGCAAUACAGUAUCUGUUGUGCCAGGUGCUCUUGUUUGACAUUGAAACAGGAAGAAAACCAAACCAUACCAGGUGAAGCUGUACAGGCAGACAUGUCUGACAUUCCUGGAGCCAGGCGUGAGGCAGGGCGGUUCCACAGAGACUGUCCAAAUAUCAAAGCCAGCAGAGUCUCCAAGGCAGCAUCAUUUGUGAGACAGGUGAAUUCCCACGGGCAGGUCAUUAGCAGCAGAACAUCUGAAGACAAGCCAGCAUGCUGACAGUCAGAGAGACUCAGCUCUGCUGAACGUAUCCUAGAGCACCAAGGUGACAUAUAAAUCAGUCAUAUCCCCUGGAAUGCAUGCAGCAAAGCAGGAAUGCCAAUUUUCGCAGCAAAAAGUAUAU